rnacentral:rRNA from 1 species
UACGUAGGGGGCAAGCGUUGUCCGGAAUCAUUGGGCGUAAAGAGCGCGUAGGCGGCCCUGUAAGUCCGCUGUGAAAGUCAAGGGCUCAACCCUUGAAUGCCGGUGGAUACUGCAGGGCUAGAGUCCGGAAGAGGCGAGUGGAAUUCCUGGUGUAGCGGUGAAAUGCGCAGAUAUCAGGAGGAACACCUAUUGCGAAGGCAGCUCGCUGGGACGUUACUGACGCUGAGACGCGAAAGCGUGGGGAGCAAACAGG